UACGAAGGGGGCUAGCGUUGUUCGGAAUCACUGGGCGUAAAGCGCACGCAGGCGGAUCGUUAAGUCGGGGGUGAAAUCCCGAGGCUCAACCUCGGAACUGCCUUCGAUACUGGCGAUCUUUGAGUCCGGGAGAGGUGAGUGGAACUCCGAGUGUAGAGGUGAAAUUCGUAGAUAUUCGGAAGAACACCAGUGGCGAAGGCGGCUCACUGGCCCGGUACUGGCGCUCAGGUGCGAAAGCGUGGGGAGCAAACAGG
rnacentral:rRNA from 1 species